rnacentral:lncRNA from 1 species
GUCUUUGGAGAUGGAGGCUUAAGCAAACAAGACUUCAGAAAGUCACCCACGUCUCUGUCAACUAUCUGACUCAUAGGGUCAGAGAUAAAUUUGAGGCUUCUACAUUGGAGGCUCCAAUUUAUCAUGUGGCUGUACACUGUUCAAGAAUGAUUUGGAAGUGCUCUGGAUUGUGAACAAAGCAUGAUCCCUUUCAACACAAGAGCCCAUUUCAUUUCAGACUUCGAAUUGAGCACGAUUGGAGUCAUAACCAUUUAGAUUAUGGAACUUUUAAAAGUAGCUACCAUGAAGACAGGUAUUUU